GACGAACGCUGGCGGCGUGCCUAAUACAUGCAAGUAGAACGCUGAAGGAGGAGCUUGCUCUUCUGGAUGAGUUGCGAACGGGUGAGUAACGCGUAGGUAACCUGCCUGGUAGCGGGGGAUAACUAUUGGAAACGAUAGCUAAUACCGCAUAAAAUUGAUUAUUGCAUGAUAGUCAAUUAAAAGGUGCAAUUGCAUCACUACCAGAUGGACCUGCGUUGUAUUAGCUAGUUGGUGAGGUAACGGCUCACCAAGGCAACGAUACAUAGCCGACCUGAGAGGGUGAUCGGCCACACUGGGACUGAGACACGGCCCAGACUCCUACGGGAGGCAGCAGUAGGGAAUCUUCGGCAAUGGACGGAAGUCUGACCGAGCAACGCCGCGUGAGUGAAGAAGGUUUUCGGAUCGUAAAGCUCUGUUGUAAGAGAAGAACGAGUGUGCGAGUGGAAAGUUCACACUGUGACGGUAUCUUACCAGAAAGGGACGGCUAACUACGUG
rnacentral:rRNA from 1 species